GACGAACGCUGGCGGCGUGCUUAACACAUGCAAGUCGAACGGAAAGGCCCUGCUUUUGUGGGGUGCUCGAGUGGCGAACGGGUGAGUAACACGUGAGUAACCUGCCCUUGACUUUGGGAUAACUUCAGGAAACUGGGGCUAAUACCGGAUAGGAGCUCCUGCUGCAUGGUGGGGGUUGGAAAGUUUCGGCGGUUGGGGAUGGACUGGCGGCUUAUCAGCUUGUUGGUGGGGUAGUGGCUUACCAAGGCUUUGACGGGUAGCCGGCCUGAGAGGGUGACCGGCCACAUUGGGACUGAGAGACGGCCCAGACUCCUACGGGAGGCAGAAGUGGGGAAUAUUGCACAGUGGGCGGGAGCCUGAGGCAGCAACGCCGCGUGCGGGAUGACGGCCUUCGGGGUGUAAACCGCUUUCGCCUGUGACGAAGCGUGAGUGACGGUAAUGGGUAAAGAAGCACCGGCUAACUACGUG
rnacentral:rRNA from 1 species